rnacentral:rRNA from 1 species
GGGGAAUAUUGGGCAAUGGACGCAAGUCUGACCCAGCAACGCCGCGUGAAGGAAGAAGGCUUUCGGGUUGUAAACUUCUUUUAAGGGGGAAGAGUAGAAGACGGUACCCCUUGAAUAAGCCACGGCUAACUACGUGCCAGCAGCCGCGGUAAUACGUAGGUGGCAAGCGUUGUCCGGAUUUACUGGGUGUGAAAGGGCGUGUAGCCGGGAAGGCAAGUCAGAUGUGAAAUCUGGAGGCUCAACCUCCAAACUGCAUUUGAAACUGCUUUUCUUGAGUGUCGGAGGGGGAAACGGAAUUUCUUUGGUAGCGGGGAAAUGCGGAGAUAUAAGGAAGAAAACCAGUGGCGAAGGCGGAUUACUGGACGAUAACUGACGGUGAGGCGCGAAAGCGUGGGGAGCAAACA